UCCCUGGUGGCUCAGACGGUAAAGCAUCUGCUUGCAGUGCAGGAGACCCGGGUUCGAUCCCUGGGUUGGGAA
rnacentral:tRNA from 1 species